UACGUAGGCAGCGAGCGUUGUUCGGAAUACUGGGCGUAAAGAGUGUGUAGGCGGUGCUCUAAGUUCGGUGUGAAAUCUCCUGGCUCAACUGGGAGGGUGCGCCGGAAACUGGAGUGCUUGAGCGUGGGAGAGGAAAGCGGAAUUCCUGGUGUAGCGGUGAAAUGCGUAGAUAUUCGGAAGAACACCAGUGGCGAAGGCGACUUACUGGACACAUAUUGACGCUGAGGUGCGAAAGCGUGGGGAGCAAACAGG
rnacentral:rRNA from 1 species